rnacentral:misc_RNA from 1 species
CCCUCGGUGCUCAUCAGG